rnacentral:rRNA from 1 species
CCGUGCGAAGGUAGCGUAAUCACUUGUUCUUUAAAUAAGGACUGGUAUGAAUGGCACCACGAGGGUUAUACUGUCUCCCAUUUCUGAUCAGUGAAACUAAUCUCCCCGUGAAGAAGCGGGGAUCCCAUUAUAAGACGAGAAGACCCCAUGGAGCUUAAAACAAAUGGCACUUGCUAACCCCAGUUAAGCACUCUGACCAUUAGUUUUCGGUUGGGGCGACCGCGGAGAAAAACUAAUCCUCCACAUUGAAAAGAGCCUACUCCUAAACUCAAAGUUACCACUUAACGUAUCAAAACCUUGACACCCAUUGACCCAAUAAACUUGAUCAACGAACCAAGUUACCCUGGGGAUAACAGCGCAAUCCAUUUCAAGAGCUCC